rnacentral:rRNA from 1 species
GAACGAACGCUGGCGGCAGGCUUAACACAUGCAAGUCGAACGCCCCGCAAGGGGAGUGGCAGACGGGUGAGUAACGCGCGGGAACGUGCCCUUCGCUUCAGGAUAGCCUCGGGAAACUGGGAGUAAUACUGAAUACGCCGUAUUGGGAAAGAUUUAUCGGCGAAGGAUCGGCCCGCGUUAGAUUAGCUAGUUGGCGGUGUAAUGGACCACCAAGGCUACGAUCUAUAGCUGGUCUGAGAGGAUGAUCAGCCACACUGGGACUGAGACACGGCCCAGACCCCUACGGGAGGCAGCAGUGGGGAAUCUUGGACAAUGGGCGCAAGCCUGAUCCAGCCAUGCCGCGUGAGUGAAGAAGGCCUUAGGGUUGUAAAACUCUUUCGCCGGAGAAGAUAAUGACGGUAUCCGGAGAAGAAGCCCCGGCUAACUUCGUGCCAGCAGCCGCGGUAAUACGAAGGGGGCUAGCGUUGUUCGGAAUUACUGGGCGUAAAGCGCACGUAGGCGGGCUUGUAAGUAGGGGGUGAAAUCCCAGGGCUCAACCCUGGAACUGCCUCCUAAACUGCAAGCCUGGAGGUCAGGAGGGGCGAGUGGAAUACCGAGUGUAGAGGUGAAAUUCGUAGAUAUUCGGUGGAACACCAGUGGCGAAGGCGACUCGCUGGACUGAUACUGACG